rnacentral:lncRNA from 1 species
CCGAGCACGUUUCCCCUGGAACACCGCAGUAGCCCAAAAGGAGAACUAAGGAUGGGUUACAGGUUGAAAAAAGAUGAAGCGUUACCUCCGAAGUCCGGCCGCAAGCGAAUGUCAUAUCCUUUGAGCAAUCUGUCCACUGUCUCUUUCACAAAAUGGCUAGAAAAAGGGAAUCUAAGAUAGUGGAGCCAUGUAAUGAGAGGAGCCAGAUACCUGUGUCAACACUUGGAGACAAGCUACUGAGGAAUGCAUACGAAUAAACAACAUUGGACUUUACAUGAAGAAGAAAUAAACUUUUCAUUAUUUUGUAUUGUUUUUGUUAUAGAGGCUAGGGUUGAUUACCAUGACAAUGUUUAAACAUAGGUAAUCUCAAAAAUACAAAUUAAUAUAAAAAGCCUUUGUAGGGAAAUGGAUGGAGCUGGAGACCAUUAUCCUUAGCAAACUGAGGCAGGAAGAGAAAACCAAAUACCACAUGUUCUCACUUAUAAGUGAGAGCUAAAUGAUGAGAACACCUGGACACAUAGAGGGAAACAACACACACUGUGGCCUAUCAGAGGGUGGAGGGUGGGAGGAGGGAGAGGGUCAAGAAAAAUAACUAAUGUAUACUAGGCUUAAUACCUGGGUGAUGAAAUAAUCUGUACAACAAACCCCCAUGAUGCAUGUUUACCUGUG